AAGUCGUAACAAGGUUUCCGUAGGUGAAGGUUUGCCUACUGAAGAUAGUUGCAGCGACUCUAAAGAAUUGCUUUCAGUCAUCUCAAAUAAUUGGGCUGGCAACGCUGUUAGUCUGCGCUGGGAGCUCCUCGCAUUAGAGGGCCAACCAGCAGCUCCAGGGAAACCCUGGAGUCCACAGAUCAAACGAUAGCGGCCACUCCCUGUGGUUUAGAUAUGACCGGUCCCACCCGCUAAGCGGAUGGCGAAAUUUCUGCGGAACCUGCGGAAGGAUCAUUACUGAGAGAGGGGCUUCGCGCUCCCGGGGGUCUCGGCCCCCAACUCUUCACCCAUUGUUUAUCUACCUUUGUUGCUUUGGCGGGCCCUGGGGCACUGCCCCGCGCCGGCCUUCCGGGCUGAUGAGCGCCCGCCAGAGGCUCAUUAAAUUCUGUUUAUUCAGUGUCAUCGGAAGAAAAUUUAAUAGUAAAAACUUUCAACAACGGAUCUCUUGGUUCCAGCAUCGAUGAAGAACGCAGCGAAAUGCGAUAAGUAAUGUGAAUUGCAGAAUUCAGUGAAUCAUCGAAUCUUUGAACGCACAUUGCGCCCCUCGGUAUUCUGGGGGGCAUGCCUGUUCGAGCGUCAUUACACCCCUCAAGCGUAGCUUGGUAUUGGGCUUUCGCCCCCGCGGCGUGCCCGAAAAGCAGUGGCGGUCCCGGUGCGACUUUAAGCGUAGUAAAUUUUCACCCGCUUUGAAAGUUGCCCCGUGGCUCGCCAGACAACCCCAUUUUACUUCAAUGAUUGACCUCGGAUCAGGUAGGGAUACCCGCUGAACUUAAGCAUAUCAAUAAGCGGAGGAAAAGAAACCAACAGGGAUUGCCUCAGUAACGGCGAGUGAAGCGGCAACAGCUCAAAUUUGAAAUCUGGCUCUUUCGGGGUCCGAGUUGUAAUUUAUAGAGAGUGUUUCGGGCGAGAUCACGGUCUAAGUUCAUUGGAACAUGGCGUCAUAGAGGGUGAGAAUCCCGUAUGUGACUGUGGAUCGAGCCCAUGUGAAGCCUCUUCGAUGAGUCGAGUUGUUUGGGAAUGCAGCUCAAAAUGGGUGGUAAAUUUCAUCUAAAGCUAAAUACUGGCUGGAGACCGAUAGCGCACAAGUAGAGUGAUCGAAAGAUGAAAAGCACUUUGGAAAGAGAGUCAAACAGUACGUGAAAUUGUUGAAAGGGAAGCGCUUGCAACCAGACCUGUCCGUAGGUGAUCAGCCGCUGUUCUCAGUGGUGCACUCGCUCUGCGAUCAGGCCAGCAUCGGUUCGGGCGGUCGGAUAAAGGCCUUGGGAAUGUAGCUCCCUUCGGGGAGUCUUAUAGCCCUCGGUGCAAUGCGGCCAGCCGGGACCGAGGACCGCGCUUCGGCUAGGAUGCUGGCGUAAUGGUUGUAAGCGACC
rnacentral:rRNA from 1 species